rnacentral:rRNA from 1 species
GGCUACAGAACGAACGCUGGCGGCAGGCUUAACACAUGCAAGUCGAACGCUCGUAGCAAUACGGGAGUGGCGGACGGGUGAGUAACGCGUGGGAACGUGCCCUGAGGUACGGAAUAACUGCGGGAAACUGCAGCUAAUACCGUAUGAGCCCCGUGAGGGGAAAGGAUUUAUCGCCUUAGGAGGCGGCCCGCGUCGGAUUAGCUAGUUGGUGGGGUAACGGCUUACCAAGGCUUCGAUCCGUAGCUGGUCUGAGAGGACGAUCAGCCACACUGGGACUGAGACACGGCCCAGACUCCUACGGGAGGCAGCAGUGGGGAAUCUUGCGCAAUGGGGGCAACCCUGACGCAGCCAUGCCGCGUGAAUGAUGAAGGCCUUAGGGUUGUAAAGUUCUUUUGCCCGUGACGAUGAUGACGGUAACGGGAGAAUAAGCUCCGGCUAACUUCGUG